AUUCUUGCAAAACACAUUGAUUCUCAAAAAAAUACUUCAUUCUCAGGCGCACAAUGGCAGUUAAAGUUUCAUAUUUGUUUCUUUGCUUCACAGUUUUAUUUCUCAUCACAUCUGAACAUGGUUUUAAGGCCCAGGUCAGUGCAUACGAAGUGGUCUGCAAAAGUAAUAAGGAUUGUUUCGAUCAUUUGAUAUGCCCCGGUAAUUGUCUUGCGAAAUGCUUUCAAGGAGUAUGUGAAUGCCAUUGUGGUCAUCCGCCAAAAGAACAUGUUUGAUAACAAAAAUAUUAAGCAGAAUAAAGUUAUGAUGAGGCUCAUUUUAUGGUUCAAAACAAUAAUUCAAUGUCUCUAAAACUAUUUAUUGUAAUAAGAGGUUGAAAUGUUGAGAUAAUUAGGUAUAUCAAAUAUAUCAUCCUCAAAUACUUCCAUG